rnacentral:lncRNA from 1 species
CUGGCGCACAUAAUGGGAUCAAGCCAUGACCAAGCGGCUCCAGUACCAAACAUUCCUGGAAACCAAGGCGCAUACCACUGCCUUUGGAGUGACGGGUACCUCAUGAGCUACGUCAGUAAGGACGAGAGGCAGUUUUCUUUUUCAUCAUGCUCACAGGAGCAGUUUGUUGCCUUCCUGAUGUAUGUCCCUCAAAGCUGCAUAGAAAACACUUGGAAAGGCAAAUUACCAAAGAC